AAAAAAAGGUGGGGGGGAAGGAGGGGAGGACAGAAAUAGUGACUGAAGUCUGAAGUCCUUGGCCUUUUUCCUUGGGGCCACACGUUGUGCUCCAAAGGCAAUGUACUCCAAAGAAAGUAACAGAAUUUAGCCAAACCAGGCUUGUGAAACAUUCGCCUGGUGAAAUAUUCUAGCAGCACAAGCAGCUCAAAGUCUGGGCAUUUCUGCCAGAGAGACAGCUAACACUUGUCCCCAGCUUUGACAUGUCAGGAGCUCACAGGGCUGGAGGUGACAGCCAUCUCAGAAAGGUCUGUUUUACCCAACUUUUCUUCAAGGAAGUCCCAGAUUGAUUCCCUGGAGAGAAUUUUUCACAGCUUUUGAGAGAGUUGCUGUCAAACCCAGCCGUGAAAUGGCAUUGUUGGGUAAACAGCCCGUUUCCUCUGCUGCUGCUGUACACCGUCCCUCCGCAGGGCUGGGUGUGAGGCAGCUGGGGAGGAGAGCCCGGCAGAGCCCACACAGCCUCAAACAGCUGGAGUUUCUUCACAAGCGAAGCUCCCCUUGCCUCCCGAGGCUGCAGAUGGCCUGCGGCGGCCCUGCCUCCUGCGCUGAAAUCCCCGCGGAGGAGCAGAGCCAGCCGUGCCCUCAGCCCUCAGCCACGGCCCCCGGGCGCGGCCCUUCCCCGGGGCCGGGACACCGACAUCUCUGAGGCCUCCUUCACACACCCGCCGUGUCCUGCCCUCCCCUCUCCGCUGCGGCCUGGGCUAGAUGCAAUCGGUUUCAAAGACCGGGUUUAAUGCUUUUUAAUACUAGUUAAGUGAGUGGGUUGAGCUGCUAGUGUCGAAAUGUCUUGAGGAGGGAAAGAAUUCUGGAUUUCCUGUUAUUUGUCUUGCUUCACAGAAUCCCAUUUUUUAGUGAACAGAUGGAAUAUUUUUGGUUUGUUGAACAUUUUGUCAUCACUAUUCAGCACCAGCUAACCUGCCAAAUGCUCUUGAAAAAUACAGUUAUUGCAGUCUCUGCUCCUCCGUUUUACAGCAGCAACUUUGCUCCUUGGUUUCCAUUAAUAAAAAGAACUGUUUAUUUUCCUUUUUUUUUUUUCCCCCUGCUUUAAGAUCCAAAGACUAUUCUCUGUUGAUCUAAGUGGCAAAAACCUCAUUCAAAGUAAGAUAGAUGAUAUUCUGCCAGAACAGGAAAACUCUUGGAUGAAACCAGUAAAGACUGGAAUUUCUGUACAGAGAAAUCCACCCCAUUUGCCAGCAGUGACCAACAGCCAAGGAUAACUGUGAUUUAUUUUUUUUCCAGCUGGAGGUGGGUGGUGGCUUCUAUAAGCUUUUAAAUGCAGAAAUACAGCAAGGUUUGGGUCUAACAUACCUCUGCAAAUGCACUUGUUUGAUUUCUGUCCUGCUGAACCGAUUAGCUUGUGCUGGGCUCAGGCACCAUUUCUGCGGGGCAGAAUUGCCUCCUGUAGAAAAGCAAGCUGUCUUCUACCAGGACGUAAAAGAUGGACCUCACAUAGCUGACUUUGCUAGGAUAUUCCCCUGCUGAAUAACCAUGGUGGCUAAAAUCUGUUUCCUUUGCAAUUUGGGCUUGUCUGGCUUAAUUCUGAGUUACCUUUUUUUUUUCAUAGAUUAUUAUUUUCACAUUCUUUUCCAAUUCCUGUUUCCUACUGCCUCCUUUUCAGAAAUCUCUAAACUGUAAAAUCCAACUCUGAACACAGAUUUCAGAACACUACAUUCAGAUACAAAACACACACAUUAUUUUUAUUCCUUGCUCCUUGGUGAAAAGGGAUAAUAUCUCUCUCAUGCAUUUGAGUAGGAUUUAUAUUCUAAUAUAGCCACCACUGCUUUUUAGAAAACCUGACUGCAGUUUGCUACCAGCCUCUAGUUUAUCUCUCAGACUGAAAUGACAACAACAGAAAACACCAUCUUAUUUUUUUUACUGCAUUGUGACCCACACAGUGGUUGCCCAUGUGUUUGUUACCUCUGCCUCUGUACUGAAUCUGCCCAAAUUCGAGACCGUGAAGCCAGCAGAGAGUUGCAGAGCGGCUGUCAGUUUGUUUGCAUCUGUCAUCUCUGAUAUCCCUGAAAAAGAAAAGAACAUGAGCAUGGCUAUACAACAAAGCAAAGACAAACAAUAUUUUCAUGAAUUAUGUGCAUGUUUCCACUGGAAAAGUUUUGGUCUAGCUAGCAGCAGAGGAAGUCAGUGAAAAUUUUAUUUCUAUGCCUGGCACUGUGUGGGGUCAGGAAUACUUUGCAAUUCUACAGCACUUUACGAGCAGAAUUUCCUAACAAUAUGCCCCACUCCUUUUCCUGAUUUCCAGUUAGAAAACACUCAUGGUUCUUAGGCUGUAAAUGAAUUAAAAACCUCAAGAGACACACUGGAGAGAGAGGGAUUCUACCCUGUUUUGUUAGGACUACAAGGGGAAGGAAUAUUACAUAUACCCUCCCCUAUCAUCAUGACAGUACAUCGUCUGACACUGGAUAUUACAGGUUCUAGAGAAGAUUUCCCCAUGCUUCAGGAAGGACAAAAGGAAGAAUUUGUUUUGAGGGAUUUUGAUACAAUGACAAGUAGUUGCAGAAAAAGAAGUUAUUGAACACCAGAUUAAAAGGGACCUCCAGAACCAUCUGGUACAACGUCAGAACUUUUAAACGGGUAAAUCCCUUUAAUUUCUUUAUUUUUCUCAAUGAUUAGGAUCCAAGACAAUCACUCUGACAAACUCCUAUAUAUUGCUCCCCAAGGAAAAAAGAUGACUCUACAGCUCAAGUAAUCAAUGUCUGAUUUUUGAAUUCUGAUUCAGUGAAUUUUUGAAUCUGCUUUGUUACGAGUACUCCUAACAUUCCUGCAAAAGUGAGACCCAGCAGAUGCUGGCAGACCCGUACUGCUUAUGUCUGUGACCAGAAGCAGCAGAAGAUUGCUAAACACACGAGCAGGAGCAUCUAGGGCUCGUGGUGUUCCUCACUAGCAAAAGACAAGUUUGUCCAUGGGGACUGGAAUUUCAAGGCCAGAAAAACCAAGAAAAAACAAUCACUAAAUGCUGAGAGGAAGGACACACAGGGAAAGAGAAUUUCAAGAAAGAGGACUGAAAAAGAGGAUCUGCUUUUGUGGAAGAGACUAUUUGUGGCUGUUGGGCCAGCCAAAGUGAAUGUAAACUGCUUAGAUCUGUUUAAACUGUAGAAUGUGGAAAAAAAAAUAUUCCUGUGGGCAGUGUUAAUAUGUGACCCAAAACUGACAUAACCUUGAAAAAGCUACAGAUAGUAAGAAAACUGAGGAAGAUGAAUGCUAUUUCCUCUUUUGUUGCUGAACAUGAUGUAUUUCUUCUCUUUUCUACCCAAAUACAGGGACUGCAACAUUUAAAAUCCCAGUAAAUGCAGGUGUGUGCCUCAACUAGCACACAAAAGAGAAGGACACGAGCUUUGAAAAGAUCAAAAAAUGAGAAGCUUUGGGAAAGAGCAGUGGAGAUAAAGCCUGAGAGGAAGCCAAGGAAAAACAGUGAAGUGAUGCUGCAGGAGUAUAGUGAAAAUUUACUUAAGACAUGUGGAUUUUAGUGUGUGUAAGCCCAGCACAUCAGUGCACCCGCUGCAUGCCAGGAAGCUGAGCUAAGCCUGGCUGUUUCAUCCUUACGGAGCCAUGGGGCAGAGGCUUCCUGAAAACAAGAAGCAAAUCAGUAGAGAAUGCUGAGAUAUUGUGAUGCUGUUACCAACCAUUCCUUUGGAAAAAAACUGUCAGAAGCACCAACAUAUCCCAGCUGCAACCCAGAGGACAGGAAAGCCACAAACCUGCUCCAAUUCCCACUUUGACUCACAGUCACAGAAGCUCAGAAAACUAAGGCAAAUGCAAGCACCAAGAUGGAGGAAAAUGAAUAAAAUUUCAGCUUCUGCCUCUCAUUGCAUCUUUUCCUCACCAGCCACUGCUGGAGAAAUGAGUCCAACCCAAGAACCUGACAGAACAGUCCAAUCCUGCCACACGUUUAGCUGGUGUGGCUGGUCUGCACCAGCAGUGCUACUGACAGACACGAGCCACUGACAGCUGACUGAACAAGAAGAUUGGAAGGUAACAACACACAAAAGAAAAAACCACCCAAAAAGCAAACAAAAAUCCUCAAACAUAUAACCCCUGGGAGAUUGAAAAAACCAACAAAAAACAGAAAACAAACCAAACUAAAAAAAGCCCUCCAAAACCAAAAAGAAAAAAACCAAAC